rnacentral:ncRNA from 1 species
UAUGUCAAUGGCUAUUGGAUUGGUCCAUGAAGCGAAAAAUAGUUUACUGUGUCACUCGUACCGAUAACCGCAUCAGGUCUUCUAGGUAAGUAGCCUAUGGCCAUUGAGGCAUGAUAGUUCAGGGAAUUCGGCCAAUUAGAGCUGUAACUUCGGGAUAAAGCUUGGCUCUGAUGAAAAUCAGAACCGAUUGUUACGCGGAGAGCCCAACUGUUUAAUAAAAACGUAGUGUCGCGCUGUGGUAGUAUAGCCAGUGAACGCGACAUGAAUCCUGCUCAGUGCUGUGUCUGUUAAUAUGGUUCAAGCCAACGAAGCACCGGUAAAUAGCUGGGGUAACUAUGACUCUUAUCAAAGUAGCGAAAUACCUCGUCACUUAAUUAGUGACCUGCAUGAACGGAGCUAUGAGGUUCUCACUGUCCCAAACUGUCUCUCAGCGAACCAACUGUAGUGGGAACGGUCACUAGAUAUCCAGCGGGGAAAGAAGACCCUGUAGAGCUUCACUUUGGUCUAGUCUUGUAUAGUUCCUGCGGGGGUGUAGACUAGGUGGGAGAGCAAUCGAUUCUGAAAAACCACUACCCUGUUUGGAAUUAUGCUUACCUAUCACAAGGAAUAGGACUAGAUAGAAAGUUUGGCUGGGGCGGCACACCUUCGAAAGAGCAGCGAAGGUGUCCUAAGUUGAGCUCAGUGAGGACAGAAAUCUCACGUUGAGGAUAAGGCCAAAAGCUCAAUUUACUGUGCCUUUUUGUACUAGGAUCAGUUACGAAAGUAAGGCCUAACGAUCCCUAAAUAGCCUCAGGUGCGUGAGGAUUGGGGUGACAGACAAGUUACCUCCGGGACAACUGGCUUGUGGCUGCUAAGAGAUCAAAUCAACGCAGCUUUUUGAUUCUUCGAAUGUCGGCUCUUCCUAUCCUAGUGAUGUACAAGUUGCUAAGGGU